AACGAACGCUGGCGGCGUGCCUAACACAUGCAAGUCGAACGGAGAUAAGAAGCUUGCUUCUUAUUUUAGUGGCGCACGGGUGAGUAACGCGUGGAUAAUCUACCUGACGCUCUGGGAUAACAUCUCGAAAGGGGUGCUAAUACCGGAUAAGCCCACGAGACCUUCGGGUCAUGCGGGAAAAGGAGGGGACCUUCGGGCCUUCCGACAUCAGAUGAGUCCGCGUCCCAUUAGCUAGUUGGCGGGGUAAUGGCCCACCAAGGCUACGAUGGGUAGCUGGUCUGAGAGGAUGAUCAGCCACACUGGAACUGAGACACGGUCCAGACUCCUACGGGAGGCAGCAGUGGGGAAUUUUGCGCAAUGGGGGAAACCCUGACGCAGCAACGCCGCGUGAGUGAUGAAGGCUUUCGGGUCGUAAAGCUCUGUCAGAAGGGAAGAAAUGUAGGUGGCUAAUAUCCAUUCUACUUGACGGUACCUUCAAAGGAAGCACCGGCUAACUCCGUGCCAGCCGCCGCCGUAAAAC
rnacentral:rRNA from 1 species